AUUCAGCUGACGAGUUUCGAAUAGGAUGAAACGCGCGUCAAAUUGGAU
rnacentral:hammerhead_ribozyme from 1 species